rnacentral:lncRNA from 1 species
CUGGAGUCAGAUUUAAGGCAAGUAUCCUAAACCUUUCUCUUGGAUAUAUUGCAAAUAUUCUGAUCCAUUCCUUUGGUAUAUGUUUCAAGUAUUCAUACCUUUCUUUUCAAUGUUCGAAAGUGCGAGUAUUCUGACCCAUUCUUUCUAAUCUUCAAGUUUCUAAAGAAUUUCCGUUUUACAAAUUAAUUCGAAGUUCAGAUUGUCAUUGAAGCAUGUGUUGCUCAGUGAUAGUUAGAGCUUUGAAUGAAUUGGGAUCUUCUUGAUUAUUCAACCCGCCAUUGUCAUGCUGGUUUAGCAGGCUAAAUUCAGUUGCUUAGCCGAUAAUGGAGGAUACUGAAUAGUUGAGGAUUUCCUGAACUGUGAUUUAUGAAAUGAUGGAUCAUGAUUUAUGAAUAGAUUAUUAUCAAAGUUUGAAUUGGAAUUAUUCUGUUGUUGAUGAUAUUUAUGAUGAUGUUCUGUUAAUUUACAUUGGCUUCUUGAAUUGAAUUAGAGAAUUGGAUUAUUGUUUUUAUAUAAACCUGUGGACCAGAUUCGUGGUCAUGUUAGGCCAAUGAGUGCCUUGGAUCCAGUGAUAGAGCAUGGCGGGGCCUGCUCGGGGUUAGGUAUGACUGAUCAGCAUCCUAACCUUUGUUUUAAUUAAAAUGUGAUAGUCCAAUUCGAUAAUUCUCUUGGAAAGAUUGAAUUACUCCAGUAUUCCAUUGAUGCAAGGUAUUGUGAAUCAUUCUAUACAAUACCUUAAUCUUAUGAAUUUAUGUCGAAUCUUUUACUAAAGUAUCUUGAGCCUUUGAACUUCUAUCAUAAUGAUUCAGAAUUGUUAUUGUUUAUUAUUACUUGCUGAGCAUUGUUGCUCACUCUUGCUAUUCUCUUUUAACCAUUUCAGAAAGGAUUAAAGAUAAAUGGCUAGACUAUGAUUGCGAAUAAGGCUAAGGCUAGGCGAGGAUUCAGAGUUGAGGAUUCAGUGGUCAAGGAGUAUUCAGGAAGACUUAUAAAGUUGGUGCUAGCUAGAGUUGAGCUAUUGAGAUUCAGAUGUAAUUCAUAGCUGGAACAAAUUGGCAGUGAUUCUUCUUAUCGAAGAUGAUCUGAUUUGGUAAGAGAUGUUGUGUAAUAAUUAGUGAUGGAUUCUAAUUUCAAUACUGUAACCUGGAUGCGAUCUUGUUGAUUUUAGGGGGUUUAAAUGUUCUCAUUCAAAUCUUUUAUUAAAUGUUUUCAAGUUUUAAAUUCUUUUGGAUUUUCAUUAUCUUUAAAAAAAAAAAAAAAUUUACAGGUUUUUGAAGUGUUUUAAAAAUGGUUUUGUAUGGUGACGUCAGAAUCCAGACCCCCGGAUUC